rnacentral:lncRNA from 1 species
GCUACUGUCGCCGGGCGAGAGACGUGUUUAAACAGGCUAUAAAAAUGAAUUAUUACCAAACGCACGCAGAGACUCGGCCCCCUUUUAGUUCAGGAAUUGAGGAGUCCCCGUAUGAAAAUGUAAGUGGGGUUUUAUUUGUGCACAUUACGCCACAAUUGGUCCCUUUAAUGUCCGUCUCAUUCAUGCCACGGAGUGAUUUAUGAGCUCCUGAAGGCAAACAUGGCCC